rnacentral:tRNA from 1 species
GCGGCUAUAGCUCAGUCGGUUAGAGCGCAAGAUUGUGGAUCUUGAGGUCGAGGGUUCGAGACCCUCUAGCCGCCCCA